GCGCAGACGCUGCAGAGCUGCCCCAUGUGCCAGGUCGACUUCGCACCCGGGCUGGCCCAGCUGGACAUCGACAGCCACAUCGCCCAGUGCCUGGCGGACAGCACGGAAGACGUGGCGUGGUGACUGCCCGCACGCCGCUUGCCAGGACCACUGCCCUGCACACAGCCCGUGAGAAAGCCGAAGCUACACAUUUAAACACGUCACCGUGGCCCGGCCGGCGUGGCUCAGUGGUUGAGCAUCGACCCGUGAACCAGGAGGUCACAGUUCGAUUCCCAGUUGGGGCACAUGCCCGGGUUGUGGGCGCCAUCCCCAGGGUGAGGCAGGCAGCUGAUAAGGUUCUCAUCAUUGAUGUUUCUACCUCUCCCUUCCUCUCGGAAAUCAGUUAAAACAUAUUUUAAAAAAACACACAAAAACCUGCUUCCUGGAAACACUUUUAAGGAAAAUAACAAGAGUAGGCGCUUUCAUGAAGGUCUUUAAUGAUGUGGGAACAGCGGCCACGGCUGGUGGGUGAGUGUCGGCCACAGGACAGCGGGGGCCACGGCCCAGCUAGUUGUACGAAACCACAGGACGUGGCGACUCCAAACCUCAGGCCAACGCGUCCUCCACCUUCUUUACUUUGUAAAACGGCUGCGUGUAGCUCCCACCACCGCGCACAGCGCUCCCCACACACUGUCCACAGCCAACCCGGCAACCGGAAGCGAGCCAACCCUGACGGGUGCCCCCGGCGGACACAUCCAGGCCCGGUGCUGCCCUCACGGCACCCAGCGCAGCGCCCUGCGAGGAGGAAGGCGCUCCCCUGGCGUUCCUGUCACGGGUGCCCUCCCCAGGCCACCGGCCCUGGCCAGUCCCGACCGACCGCUCAGCUCCCGUCCAGGCUCCGCUGCCGGACACCCGCUGGUGGGGAGAGGCCCGGCGGCUCUAGGGCGCUGCCUGUGCUCCGGGUCUUGGUCGGCGUUUCCUGGCGACACGGGGUCGGGCGGACACAGGUCUCCAUGAUGCCUGAAGGCGGCCGAGACCCCGGGUGGGGGCAGGGCCGAGCCUUGCGUUCCUGCCGCGGUUGCCGGAGCGUGGGCUGCGCGAGUGCAGCUGAGCUGACGGCUCCACGGCGGCCUCUUGUCGCUGUUCCUCCCAUCCUCCUGCCCCAACCGCCAGCCCCGCCCCACGGAGGCGCAGAGGGGCCUGGACGCUGGGGGACUCGGUGUCCGGCCAACGUGCUAGGGACUUAAGAACCCGUUAGAUUCGCCUCUUUCUAGAAAACCUUCGGUCUGGCUUGCGCGGCCCCUUAACCGGAGGAGGAGGGAGCGGGGACGCUGCCACCGCACGGACUGGGGGCCGGGUGCCUGCGGUUCCGGGUCCUUCGCUCUCCACCUUGCCCGUCACACGCGGCCUAACUGUCCUAAUUCUGAGCAUCCCCGGAACCACCGGCACCAACAAAAACGUUCCCGACUCGAACACGUGACACAAGACAUCAGUAGGCACCGCGCAGUGUUUGCAGAAAUAUAUUUGAGCAGAUUUAGUUU